rnacentral:rRNA from 1 species
GAUCCUGGCUCAGGAUGAACGCUGGCGGCGUGCCUAACACAUGCAAGUCGAACGGAAUUUACAUGAAGCCUAGCGAUUGUAAAUUUAGUGGCGGACGGGUGAGUAACGCGUGGGUAACCUGCCUUGUACUGGGGGACGAACAGUUGGAAACGACUGCUAAUACCGCAUAAGCGCACAGCUUCGCAUGAAGCAGUGUGAAAAACUACCGGUGGUACAAGAUGGACCCGCGUCUGAUUAGCUGGUUGGG